rnacentral:rRNA from 1 species
UGACGUUAACUUUAGAAGAAGCACCGGCUAACUCCGUGCCAGCAGCCGCGGUAAUACGGAGGGUGCAAGCGUUAAUCGGAAUUACUGGGCGUAAAGCGUGCGUAGGCGGUUUAUUAAGUCAGAUGUGAAAGCCCCGGGCUUAACCUGGGAACUGCAUUUGAAACUGGUAAACUAGAGUAUGGUAGAGGAAAGUGGAAUUUCUGGUGUAGCGGUGAAAUGCGUAGAUAUCAGAAGGAACAUCAAUGGCGAAGGCAGCUUUCUGGACCAAUACUGACGCUGAGGUACGAAAGCGUGGGUAGCAAACAGGAUUAGAUACCCUGGUAGUCCACGCCGUAAACGAUGAUAACUAGCCGUUGGGGGGAUUUACCCUUUAGUGGCGAAGCUAACGCGUUAAGUUAUCCGCCUGGGGAGUACGGCCGCAAGGUUAAAACUCAAAUGAAUUGACGG